UACGUAGGGUGCAAGCGUUAAUCGGAAUUACUGGGCGUAAAGCGUGCGCAGGCGGUUUUGUAAGUCUGUCGUGAAAUCCCCGGGCUUAACCUGGGAAUUGCGAUGGAGACUGCAAGGCUGGAGUCUGGCAGAGGGGGGUAGAAUUUCCACGUGUGAGCAGUGAAAUGCGUAGAGAUGUGGAGGAACGACCGAUGGCGAAGGCAGCCCCCUGGGUCAAGACUGACGCUCAUGCACGAAAGCGUGGGGAGCAAACAGG
rnacentral:rRNA from 1 species